AAGGAACAAGUUCCUGAUGAUUUGGGUACAAAGGGCUUUAGAGACCUUGUAGGGAUUCUUAUUGGGUACUUGGAGCAGAAAAAAUACCUAGUUGUCUUGGAUGAUGUGUGGGAUAUAAAUUUGUGGGAGGCAAUGAAGGUAUCACUUCCAAAUAAUCAACUCGGAAAUCGGAUCAUAAUUACGUCUCGAAAAGAAGAUGUGGGAUCUUAUUCUUCUGAUGUUCACAUUCUCACUAUUAGACCGCUGAAGGAGGAAGAAGCUUGGGAUCUCUUUUGCA
rnacentral:misc_RNA from 1 species